AAAGGUUAUAGACUUUGGGAUAGGUCUGUAUCUGGUUUUAAGACAUGCAUUAGUAGGGAUGUGAUUUUCAAUGAACUUGUUUUUCCAUGCUUGCCUGAAUCCUCACAUUCUGACACUCCAAGUGAGGUGGAGACAACUAGGCCUUGUGACCUAGAAAGGUAUGAGUUUAUGAUCACUCCCCCCAUUCCUUCUGAGGUGGACCCUGAACCAAAC
rnacentral:lncRNA from 1 species